rnacentral:sRNA from 1 species
UCUCCCGCGCUGGCGGCUGGGGCUUCUCAGCCUCUAUUCCCUGGCUGUCCCCUUUGUUUGAAGCUCCAGUGAGGGAGCAGUGGCUGGGGUGGCCCAGCUUCAAAGUCUCUGUCCUCUUGAAAAGAGGUGGUCGGGGGACAUUGACCCACCAGCCCCGCAGGCUACUGCCUGCAAACAAGAACCCCUCAUCUGCCACGCACGUUCUUAAUGUAUCUAUAGUCCGCCUGAUGCCACAAAGGAGUCCAGACAGGGUCUCGCUCUGUCACACAGGCUGGAGUGCAGUGGUGUGAUCUUGGCUCAUCGUAACCUCCACCU